AAUUCUGUUUUCUAUUUGCUUUUUCUUUUCAAAACAAGAGCACAAGCUGUUCAUUAAGAAAAGGAAGAACAACUGGAGGUUAUAUAAGGACAGCUGCUUCUACUCACCAUGUCAACUGAUAAACAGUUAGACAUCUACUGCCCCCAAAAGAAAAUCAAUAUUUAUAGAAGAGCCAGAGUUUCAAAUAUAUGUCCUGGAAGGGAAGAUUGUAUUACUGUGUGCCCCCAUAAUUAUGAUGUAAUCAUCACACCCUGAGAACACAGGUUCUUGCGGAACUCAACUCUGAGUAUCUGGACUGGCUUUCUACUAUAAAGAGAAAUACUUCUAUGCGUGACAUAGUUCCUGACAAUAGCUUCUUGACAUAGAAGAAGCUUGAAGAGAGUGACAAAAAUCCUUCUUAAUCACACAUUUACACAUGCAUUGCCCUCAUUUUUCUUUUGCAUAGUAAUACUGGAUCUUAAUAAGAAGGCUUAUACUGCUUAUUGCCUCUUUAUCUACAAAAGAAGAGUUUUUACAGCCUCAUCUAUACUUUCAAAAACUAGAGCAUGCCAGUUAGAAACCAAACUGGUUUUUCCAAACCAUGUAAUACAUUUUAACAUACAAAAAGAGGAGAGGAAAAAGACGUCAGAUUUAUUUACCUGGGGAUAUGAUAUAGAAGAAAUCUUUAAAUUCAUCCAUCCAAACUUCUGCUAGUCUCCUGUUGUUUUUGUUGAUGACAUGACCAGUGCCACCAGGGAAAGUGUAUGGAGUUGCCUUCCGAAAAACGUGACCAACGUGGGAGCAAGUCACAAUCUCCAGAGAACCUCCACAUUGCCAAAUCUGGGAAAAGGAACAAUCAUCAUAUCACAAUCAUUAUCAACAAUGCAGUAAUAUUUUCUAACAAGAUCUGAAUACUCAACCUCAACAGUGACAUCUCAACCCAAGCCUCUUCUCUGGGAUCCAGACUGUGUAUUCAAACACCAACUUGGUAUCUGCUCUCACAUGUCUCAGACGCACCUGAAUAAACAAGUCUGAAGUGGAA